rnacentral:rRNA from 1 species
GACGAACGCUGGCGGCGUGCUUAACACAUGCAAGUCGAACGGAAAGGCCCUGCUUGCAGGGUACUCGAGUGGCGAACGGGUGAGUAACACGUGGGUGAUCUGCCCUGCACUUCGGGAUAAGCCUGGGAAACUGGGUCUAAUACCGGAUAGGAGCCAUUUUUAGUGUGAUGGUUGGAAAGUUUUUUCGGUGUAGGAUGAGCUCGCGGCCUAUCAGCUUGUUGGUGGGGUAAUGGCCUACCAAGGCGGCGACGGGUAGCCGGCCUGAGAGGGUGGACGGCCACAUUGGGACUGGGAUACGGCCCAGACUCCUACGGGAGGCAGCAGUGGGGAAUAUUGCACAAUGGGCGCAAGCCUGAUGCAGCGACGCCGCGGGGGGGAUGACGGGCUUCGGGUUGUAAACUCCUUUCGCUAGGGACGAAGCUUUUUGUGACGGUACCUAGAUAAGAAGCACCGGCUAACUACGUG